UCUGACAGACUGGUACUCUGUGAGCUUCCACAAAACACCAGAGAACAGUCUGUUCAAACCCGUGGCGGAAAACACAUGUACUUAAACUGAACUGGUCAAACAUCUUUACAGCACAGCCUUACUUCAAUGUCUUUCAAGGGCUCUAUGAAAUUCCCUGUGCCUCCGUCCAGCCCCACAACCCUGGAGGCCAAGGUUGAUGACUUACGGUUUAAAGUGGAGCAGCUCCUUUUGAGCCCAGAGAGAAGUUGCCCCAUGUGUGGGACCUGCAUUCAGCACAGCACACUGCAUGAGACCGUGACCAGCCAGCUGUCAGCUCAGACCAGAUUGUUGGAUUCUCUUGAAAAGAAAGUCUUGGAGAUGAGAACAGCUCUGGAGGACCUGGCGCGUGGUCUGGAGGACAGACAGU